rnacentral:lncRNA from 12 species
AUGGCUGGUGCCAGCAUCCAGCUUGGUGCCAUCCCAUCCCAUCCCAUCCCAUCCCAUCCCAUCCCAUCCCAUCCCAUCCCAUCCCAUCGGGACAUGCCCAGGGACAGGACGGAAGAGGGGCCGGGCACACACCCCGCAGCGCCCGUGCUCCAUCCCCUGGGGCAUCCCGGGGCUGUCCCUGCCUGGGGCGCGCAGGGCUGGGCUCUGUUCUCCGGCCUCUCCCGCAGCCCCUCAGCUCUGGCUGCGCUCGCUCUUUGCCAGGCCCAGCCAUGGAACAGACACAAGAGCAGGAACCCACCCGUGGCCGCUUCCGCAGAACAGUGCAGGUACCUGCAGCCAUCCCCACCUGGGCUGGGCCUGCUGUCACUGCUCAGCCCAGCACAGCGCUUGGAGCACUCCAUGGAACAUCCAUGGCGUCUUGCCCUUCUCCUACAGCUGAUCUGCAAAUUGCUCAAGAAUAUUCGGCAGGAAGGGACCAGCACUGGGGUCAUAGCAUACUCAGACAUCUUCAAACAGAAGAUCACUGUGUCCCUGCUAGAUAUACUUGUGAAGAACGGUGUUUCUAGUCCAGAUCAGGUAAGCAGCCUGUGGCCAGGCUUCAUUGAACCCCCUGUCACGUGGUUUCCCAAACCACUGGGGCCUGCUGGUCCCUGUCAGCCUUUGAAGCCAUCAGAGAGUGGUGGGAAGGGAAGCACUUUUCUGGGGAAGCUGGGGAUAUUACUGCCUCUGGCAGCUUUACAAGUCUCCCUGUGCCUUCUUCAGGUGCCUGCCAUGGUGAGGUUCAUCCACCAGUGGCUCAUGGCCAAUGAGUCUGAUGAGCACAGGGUGGAGAGGAUCCUGCUGGAUCUCACCGAGGCACAGCCCACUGAUGUGGUGAUGACUCUCCUGCGUGUGGCCCCAUCGUGUGACAGAGCUGCUAUGACCAUGUGGACAACGAUCAUGUCCUCACUCAAGAUUGCAGUGGAGGUGCAGCAAAUACUCCUGGAUGUGCUGGGGAGCUGGCCAGAGCACAGCACGUGCACCUCCGAUGGGGACACAACGAGAGUCUUUGCCCUGGCUGUGAGUUUCUGGAACUGGCCUUUGCUCACCCCAAGGCGGGGGGGGGGGGGGGGGGGGGGGGGGGGGGGGGGGGGGGGGGGGGGGGGGGGGGGGGGGGGGGGGGGGGCCUCAGGUGCUGGGCUGAAUCCUGGCCUAGGGGCAGCUUCAGGGGCACCAGGCCCGGUGCUCCCCCUGCGUCUCCCCUGGGCUCUCCCUGCCACGCUCGGGCCCUGCCGCACGGACACCUCGGCACUGAGCGCUGACUCGGGCUGUUUGUCCUUUGCAGGCAACUGUGGUGAUGUGGAAGAUCCUCCAGGUGCCCUUUGUCCCAUAUAUAGUGAUAUCGUUUUUCCCCCGCCUAUUUGUGCACCUGCUCUUCCAAGUGUUCUUCAGCACUUUGGAUACACCAGAGGAGGUCGAUGAAUUCAAUGCCAGAGGAGGUGGAUAAAUUCUGGAAGAGAUGCCAGGAACAACACAGCCUCGCUGCUAGCCCCAACAGGUUUUCCAUUCCAGUCCUUCUGUCCCUG